UCCGCUCCGCCGCGGUGGGAGCGGCUGGAAUAACCUUGGUGUGAGCCAGUCGAGCGGCUGGAGAGAAGAGCGAGAGAGGCUGAACGGUGCAGCGGCGGAAGAUCAGCGAUCGCUGGCGUGAACAUGGCGGAGACCGUACGCUCGCUCUUCGACUACCGGGAGACACACAGCCUGGACAGCGACGGAGAAGGCAUCAAACCGGCGCCGCCACUGCGGGGGUGAGGAGUCAUUUUAGGAGUGUUUUAACAAUGACAUGUACAAUAGUGAAAAACUGUUUCAUGACAGUGUUUUCCUCCCCAAUGACAGCGAGACUCGGGUGGGUGUGUGCGCGCAUGUAUCUGUGUUUUUGAUGGAACUAAAGUUGUAAACACACAUUAUUUGUCAAGUUUGUCAGCGAGCACUGCUCAAAUUGAAAGAAAUUAUGCGACAAAGUCGCUUGUUUGUCUCAUUGCUAGCUUGUUGUUUUUUUUUACGUUAAUUCCACCUUACAAAGCAGCUCCAAAGAGGUGUGUGCGCGCGUGCGCGAGUUUGUAUGUGCGCGCGCAUGUGUGUGUGCGUGACACUGAAUUCACCCAUUGAAUAUGUUGUUUUUUGAGUGACAGGGUACAGCAAAUGUCACAAAUACACACUAUUUCGACAACAAAACAUGUCAUGUACCUUGAAUUUGUUACUUUUUUAAAGGUAAAUCCCAAAAGCUGGAGUUCAAUAACAAUUUGUUUUGCCUUAAACUGUAAAUAACAAAAGUUUUCAGGAACAUAACUUAUAAUGCAACUGUUCAAUUUCACAAAGUUAUAGAAAUGUUGGACUAAAUAUACUGUCAGAGCUUCCCUCUGUGUGUGUGUGUGUCUCUCUGUCUCUGUAAGUGCGCGCUCGCGCCUGUGUGUAGUGUGUGCGCGCAUGUGUGUGUGGUUGUGUGAAAGUGGGAGAGAAAGGCACACACACAGGGAGGGGGAGAGAGCGUGAGAGAGAAAGGAGCAGCUCUGUGUGUGUGUGUGUCCUUGUGUGUGUGUGUGUGUGUGUGUGUGUGUGUGUCCUUGCAUACUUGUAUGUAAUCCUUUUAUACUGACUGUUGCUGUGCUCUCAGGUGAUCGUAAGGAAGCAGCAGAGAAUAAACGGCUCACACUGGAUGGGCCUUUCUACAGCACAGAUGCUGCUCCUCACAACUGCGGUCCAUCAGAACAAGCUCAUGGCAAAGUCUCCCCCGGAUCCAAGACCAGCUCCUGCUCAGCCUCUACACCGGGUGCGGCUACUGCUGCUUCCUCAGCCCCAACCCCAACACCAGUCCCUGCUCCUGCUCCGGCGACUUCAGCUCAAGCCCCAUCUCUGACCCCAGCGUCCACUGCUCCGGCUGCCCCGACAGCCUCUGCUCCAGCCCCGACAGCCAGCUCCUUCCCUCCGUCACCUAACUGCCGCAUCCGAGAGGUCCACUGUGGCAGCCAGGUGCGGUUGGUCGUUAUCGCCAUCCGAGACAUCACCAAGGGAGAGGAGAUCACUGUGGACUACAGCCUGACAGAGUGGGGAGAGAACCUGGGUUUCCGUGGUACUGUGUCUCCAGCGCAACAUGAGUGUAACUCUGACACAGAGAACAACAACAAUAUCAAAAAGGAGGAUGAGCCUCUUUCUCUGACAGCCCAGCAUCAGCAGCAGCGGCAGCAACAGCGGCAACAGCAGCAGCAACAGGAGUACGUCACCCCUUCUUGGUCCCUCUCCCCCUCCUCCUCCCCCAUCUCCCACUCGGACGCCAGUGACUCGGACGCUGGAGAUGAGGACAACGCCAGCCCCCGCGGGCGCGCCCUACGCCGUCGCAAAAAACGACGCGGCACACCUUCAAAGAAAAAGACCCCCCAUCGGACCCCACCUGGGCGGCCACCACUGGUCUCCCCCGCCAACAUUCCUCAACACAGCCGUCCACUUCCUUUGUCCCACCCUCCAGCGCAGUCCUCCCCUCCCUGCUCGUCUUCCUCCUCCUCCUCCUCCUCUUCAGCUAAGCCUGUGUUCAAAGCUCCUGCUCCCCUGGGGUCCAACACCACAAGCAACGUCAACAUAAAUGUCCCCAGAGGAGGAGUGUCCAUAGACUCCAUGCGCCAAACCUGUGAGUACUGUGGACGCCACUUCCGCUCCCUGGGUCGCCACUUAGAUAAACACCAUGCACACCAACCAGAAGUGUGCUCUGCUUUAGUGGAGCGCUACACACAGAUGCCCCGCCUGCACGCACAGAACCCAAACCCCACCACAGCUCACACACAAACUCAGCAGCACUCAAAGUCGUCACAAGUUGCGGGACAGAGCCGCACUUCAGAUCUUCCACAGAAUGGCGUCCAGGACCUCUCCAUGUCUCCGCCCACUCUCACAGCAGCCAACCAAUCCCCUGCUUCCGCUGGAAGAAACUCCACCCCACCUUUGCUGACUCCUCCGCGAGGACAGAAUGCAGUGCCGGUGUCUGUCUUAAAGAGAAGUCCACCCCCUGUGGCUGUGACACAGUCCAGGAAGGGAGCUGUGAGCAGGCUGAAGAAAGAAAGACAGAACGAGGAAGAAGCGGAUGAGGGGGACGAAGAUGAAGAAGAUGUGGAGGUUGUGGAGGUAAAGAGGCCCAAAGAGGAGGAGGAUGUUGAGGUGGUGUGUCCUCAGUCCUUCAGCUGCAAGUCGCCCAAAGAGAUGGAGCCACCAAAAGAAGAGGAAGAUGAGGAGGAGGAGGAAGAGGAGGAGGAGGAGAAUGGAGUGAUGGAGGUAGAAGAUGAAAGUGGAACAGAAGAUAAGGAAAAGGACCUACUGAGGUAA
rnacentral:lncRNA from 15 species